AAUUUUGGACAAUGGGGGCAACGCUGAUCCAGCCAUCCCGCGUGUGCGCUGAAUGCCUUCGGGUUGUAAAGCACUUUUGUCAGAGAAGAAAAGGCACUGGUUAAUACCUGGAGCUGCUGCCGAUACCUGCAGAAUAAGCACCGACUAACUACGUGCCAGCAGCCGCGGUAAUACGUAGGGUGCAAGCGUUAAUCGGAAUUACUGGGCGUAAAGGGUGCGCAGGUGGUUUGGCAAGAAGGAUGUGAAAUCCCGGGGCUUAACCUCGGAACUGCAUUCUUAACUGCCAGGCUAGAGUAUGUCAGAGGGGGGUAGAAUUCCGCGUGUAGCAGUGAAAUGCGUAGGGAUGCGGAGGAAUACCGAUGGCGAAGGCAGCCCCCUGGGAUAAUACUGACGCUCAGGCACGAAAGCAUGGGGAGCAAACA
rnacentral:rRNA from 1 species